UGAAUCUUCAUUCUCCUUAUUAGUAUCACUUCAUAUUUUCUUAUAUAAUAUGCAAAAUUAUUCAAUUUACUUAAAGAUGACAAUUUUUCCUUAAUACAUUUCAGCCAAGACAUUACGUAAAACAUAAUUUAAAUGCUCGAAAAAAUCAUCUUGUAUAAAUUCUAGUUGCAAUCAUAUUAUGUUUUUGUGGAACAAACACCAGAAAGAUUGAUCGCUAUAUUCUACUAAUUAUCGUUCAUCAUAUUUUACAUAAAGAUAUGUGCCAUCAUUCGAUAAAAAUGUAAAAUACGUAAAAUAUGCGUUAUCGUGUAAAAUAAUACAAAUCAAAUUGCAAUAAUAUGCAUACAUCCAGUUAUUUGCUAAUUCAAAUAACAAAAUAUUACGUUAUAACCCUAAAUUUAAAAGACAGAAUAUAUUUUUCGAACAAAAAAAGUAUAUAAGCUCUGCCAAGACGUUUUAAAUAGCUCUACAAGAACGUGUUAUUUGCACCGUGAUACAGCUGGCAAUAACCAUGACACGCAGUUUAGGUUCUUAUUAAUCGUCGCCUUAGUGAUCGGCAUUGAAGCUUCUUCAAUCAAGGAGAGGUUGAUUGGUGCGAAAGAUGCGGAAAUUGGAGAAUUUCCUUUUGCAGUAUCGAUUCGCUCAAACAACAAACACUUUUGCAGUGGUGCACUAAUUACAAAGAGACACGUAUUGACGGUAGCUCACUGCGUUUUUGUGACAAAUUACAUGUUUGGCAGUCUCAUCGUCGUCGUUGGCACCAACAGUGUGUCCACCGGUGGAAAGUCUUACAGGAUUAGCCACUCAUAUCAACAUCCAGAUUUUGAAUUCCAGGACUUGUUUCCGGAUUGGAUGUAUGACAUCGGCAUUUUUAAGCUUGCCGAUGAAAUCGAGCUAUCAGAUCUCAUUGUUAUCGCAAAACUACCUACUAAGGAUGUAGAGGUUAGUUCACGAGCUGUUGUAUCGGGAUAGGGUUCAACGGAGAAUGCGUAUACGCCAGUUUCAACAACGCUUAAAAAACUAGAGAUGGAAAUCAUAGAUCAAAAGACCUGUCAAGAAAAGAUGGGGAAACAAGCUUACGUAGACCAGUGACAUAUUUGUACUAAGCUUCAUAAGGGGCAUGGCAUUUGCGCUGGAGACAGCGGAGGCCCAUUGACCCAGGAUGGCGUUCUUAUAUCGGCAUCGUAUCUGGAGGUAUCCCUUGUGCCAAAGGCUAUCCGGGCGUUUAUACAAACGUAUUCAAAUAUUCAAGUUACAUCGAUGAAACUUUUAACAAAAGUAAAUAAACAUAGAUAAUUUGUAA